rnacentral:lncRNA from 1 species
AGAACUCAAGUGCCAUGGCACGGAGUCGAACUCACCGAUAUUUUAUCCGGUACAUAAUAGUAUGAAAUAUUUAUUUUAUUUAGCAGUGAAAUAUAUUUUAAUCACCUAUUAUGUAUUUUUAUCAAAAUUUUUAAAUUUUAUAAGGAAAAUUACAUAUCAAUUAAAAAAAGAGCAUUUUGAAAUGUACUAUUGUUACGAAAGCUGUAUCGUGUCUAUAUCUUGUUAGCAUGAUACGACACAGUGGAUACCGACCGUGCCGAUGAGCAUCUAAAUUCUCGCGUCCCACUCUUAUGCUUUAAAACAAGCGGGGUCAAACACUCCCUUAAGAAGUGGACUUGAUCAGUUUGAGCUACUCUAUUGUAAGGAGAGAAAUUAGUGGAACAUUCUUCUAUUGAUUAAUAAAUCUUUUCGGGUGCGUUUGGUUCGCGCUAUCUUUUAAAGAUUCCUAGUAAUCCAAUAGGAAUAAAAAAAUAUGACUGUGUUUGGCUAAACGCACUAAGUAAUCUAGUUGGUAAUAUUGGAUUCACUUGGAAAUAAGAUUCAUCCCAAAAUACUAAUCUCAUUCCCUUGAGGGAGGAUGGUUAUCCUCAUAUUAAUGAAUUUGGGUAAUCAUAAUAUGUCUAAUCUCUUUCUUUCACACUACCCGCCGGCUAAUUGAUAUUAUUUUCUUUAUACUCUAACCUCAUAUCUUUCUCUAAACUUAUCUUUCUCUCUAAAAUUUAAUUUUUUUUUCUCUCUCUAAACUAAGCUUUUUCUCUCUCUUUCUAAAAUUUCAAUUCUCUUACUCCCUCUAAUUUCGACUCUAUAUCUUUUUUUAUUUUUUUAAUUAUGUUCUCUCUCUAAAUUAUGCUCUCUUCCCCUUUUUUUCUAAAAAGAUGUUGAAACUUUUAGUAGCAUUAUCUAAAAUUAAUUAAAAAAUAAAUUAAUUAAUUGUAUAUUUUUUGUAAUAUUAAAUAAUAUGGUUAAAUAAUAUUACCGCACGAACCAAACACAGGAAUUCCACAUUCUUAGUAAUAGAAUGAAUAGAAAUAAAAUUCUCGGAUAUCUUUUUAUUCCUAGUAAUCUUUCAUAAUGCAAACCAAACGCACCCUUCGAGUCUUUCCUACAUUCCUA